rnacentral:rRNA from 1 species
UACGUAGGGUGCAAGCGUUGUCCGGAAUUAUUGGGCGUAAAGAGCUCGUAGGCGGUCUGUCACGUCGGCUGUGAAAACCCGAGGCUCAACCUCGGGCCUGCAGUCGAUACGGGCAAACUCGAGUACUGCAGGGGAGACUGGAAUUCCUGGUGUAGCGGUGAAAUGCGCAGAUAUCAGGAGGAACACCGGUGGCGAAGGCGGGUCUCUGGGCAGUAACUGACGCUGAGGAGCGAAAGCGUGGGGAGCGAACAGG